rnacentral:lncRNA from 1 species
GCCUAGCUGGCCUCCAUGCGCAGCUUCUUCCUGCUCUGUGGCUCGUCGGGCUCCGAGUCGGAGCUGGAGUCGGAGCCGCCGUCGAAAGCGGAGAUGGUGCUGCCCUUGGGGUUGGUGUAGAGGCUGCUGUCCGCUGCUGGGUAGUUGGCCUGCAGCUGGGCGCUCGAGCGCGCCUUCUCCAGGGCUCGCACUUGCUGCUCCAGCAGCGCGUUCUGCCGCUUGAGGUCGUCGAUGUCCUGCUGGUGCGUGUGGUUUUUCCGGCGCAUGUACUGGAUGUACUCUGUGGCUUUGUCCAGGAUUUGGGCCCGGGAUGCCUGUGGCAAUAGUGGGAAAAGGCACGGGCCAGAUAAAGACCUCAGCCCUGCCGUGGGGCGGAGGGCCCCCCCGACGUGGAUAUGCGUGGCACCGUGGCGGGGACCCACGGACCGACUGCACCGCUGGGUUUCCACCAGCAGAACCUCAGAGCUGGGCAACGUGUAUGCAGGAGGAGGAAGCACUGCAGGAGGGGGAAGUCAGAAAGGUCCCCGUGGGGCGUGCCGCCGCGCUCCACAACCUCACCUUCUCGCCCUGCAGGGAGGGCACGGAGUCACGCAGGCUGUGGAAGCUGUCCUUGAUGUGGUCCCGCCGUUUGCGCUCCAGGGCGUUGUGGUGGGCUCGUUUGUCU